rnacentral:misc_RNA from 1 species
CCGAGUUUACAACUCCCAAACCCCUGUGAACAUACCAUUUGUUGCCUCGGCGGUGCCUGCUUCGGCAGCCCGCCAGAGGACCCAAACCCUUGAUUUUAUACAGUAUCUUCUGAGUAAAUGAUUAAAUAAAUCA